ACGACCUUACUUGAACAGGAUCUGUUCUAUAGGCUCGUACCUCUGUAUUCUUGAUUCCUAAGAAGACAGAAACCCAUAUCUGGUUGAUGAGCUACGACCAUGUAACCAGAGCGUGAUUAACAGAUAACCAUGGUCUCGACCAUGACUCAGUAGAUGAUCGUUGCCACCCCCAUCUGAUGGGUUCUGGCAUGGUUACAUGGUUGUCUGACAGAUA